GAUGAACGCUGGCGGCGUGCCUAAUACAUGCAAGUCGAGCGAACAGACGAGGAGCUUGCUCCUCUGACGUUAGCGGCGGACGGGUGAGUAACACGUGGAUAACCUACCUAUAAGACUGGGAUAACUUCGGGAAACCGGAGCUAGUACCGGAUAAUAUAUUGAACCGCAUGGUUCAAUAGUGAAAGACGGCUUUGCUGUCACUUAUAGAUGGAUCCGCGCCGCAUUAGCUAGUUGGUAAGGUAACGGCUUACCAAGGCAACGAUGCGUAGCCGACCUGAGAGGGUGAUCGGCCACACUGGAACUGAGACACGGUCCAGACUCCUACGGGAGGCAGCAGUAGGGAAUCUUCCGCAAUGGGCGAAAGCCUGACGGAGCAACGCCGCGUGAGUGAUGAAGGUCUUCGGAUCGUAAAACUCUGUUAUUAGGGAAGAACAAAUGUGUAAGUAACUAUGCACGUCUUGACGGUACCUAAUCAGAAAGCCACGGCUAACUACGUG
rnacentral:rRNA from 1 species